AUAUACACAUUCAUUAUGUAGUAAACAGAAGCUCAUUUUGUGAGCAGCUUUCUAGUUGGAUAAGACGCAUAGUGGAUAUCCUGAAAUUCAAGUUCAGUCGUGAAGAGAAAAUCAAAUAACAAAAUAGCAGAUUCACCUGUAGAGACGCCGCAGAGGAUAUUGACAGCCAACAUCGUGAGAAGCAUUUAGAAAAUACGCUGUCGUGUUGUUUCAUUUGAAAUUGUACGAAAUUAAGAACACUACAUCAACGUGUGCAGUAUAACUUCAGAAUCAUCUCAACAACUACAUCCAAAAUCGUCUUAGCAAUCUUUUCCACAACGAGUUUCAGAUCACAGCAGCUUCCAACAGUUUCCACAGAACGAAAUUCAAUUCUCUGCAGCUUCCAGAAUAUACUCAUCACACUAAAAAUUUCAUUUGUGAACAAAAUAUCGGUGAGUCAUGUCAAUAAAUAAAAUCCAAAUGAUCGAUUUUCCAAAAACCAAGUCGGUAAUUGAUAAUUACAUUUUAGUCAUUAGAGACAAUUAUUCAGAGUAUAUUGCCAAACAAGCUAUACAAUUUAUCAAUAAACAUAUAAGAAAAUGUGUUUCAGCUAUGAAAAAAAUUAGAUUUUUGGUUGGGGAAAAAAAGAAAAUAAUUACAAAUUUGGGGAAUUGAAACGCUUCAAAGUGAUUAUCAAAAUGUUGAAUAAUAAACAUAUAGGCUCAGGUUUGAAACGACGAAGCACCAGGGUAAAGUGGCAAAUUGUUAAAACAAUAGUUUCAAUCAUAGAGUAACAACGGGGGUAAUCAUCAAUUCAACUCAUAAAGAUCCUAAAAAGUUUCUAGGCGAUGCUUUUUCAUUAUUCAUGCGUGAUAUUUCCAAAAUUUUAAAACAAAUGUCAUAUCUCAAAGUUAAUUUCACAUUAUCAGGGGAUUUUAUUAAAAAGUCGAAUGAUGGGGAAAUUGUUGAUCGUAAAUAUUUUCUUACACCAAAUGAAGUUAACGAUUCAGGUACGGACUUACUGCUUGGUACAAUGAAAACGCUGUGGAUGUUAUAUUGAAUUAAUUUGAAGAACAAUUGUCGGGGUGGGCUUUGAAUAAAAUUCUUUUGUUGGGAGUAGCAAUUAAUGAAUAUGUCAUUGGUAACGGUUCUUCUUUCAUUCCACUGCCGCAAGAAUUCGCAAGAAAGCAGGCAUGCAUUAAUGUAGGAAACGAUGACGAAAUGUGCUUCUUUUGGAGUGUUAUUAGCGCCUUGUAUCCUGUAGCAGUACAUUAUAAUAGAGUGUCAAAAUAUCCACACUAUUCUACAGUUUUGAAUACUAUAGAGCUGAAUACUUCAAUGGACUUAUAUCAAAUUUCCAAAUUUUGAAAACCUAACGAUAUUUUUGUUAAUAUUUACACUUUGGAAUUGAAUCAAGUGAAGGAAAAAUCAUUUUAUGCAGUAGUACCUGCCAGACUCACGACAACAAAACGAGACAGACAUGUUAAUUUGCUAUUAAUUCAAGACAAAUAUUUUCCAAAAUUGAACGAAUAUGAGGCUCCACCCAUUAAUGACGAUGACGAGACUGAAAUUGAAUUCCAUUAUUGUUGAAUCGAAGACAUCUCCCGAUUCUUAGGUAACCAACUGAACAAAAAAAAAAGACAGAAAAUUCAUUUGUGAUAGAUGCCUCAAUUAUUUUUCAAGUAAACAAAAAUUAAAUGAUCAUACUGUUUUGUGCGAAAAAGUGAAUGAUUGUAAAAUUUCCUUUCCUAUAUACGAGUAUGUGAAAUUUCGAAAUUAUUAUAAACAAAAAUGUUCGUUUAUAAUUUUUGCUAAUUUCGAGUCUCUGUUGGAAAAAUGUAACGGAAACAUAUCUAACAAAACUACAAAAUACCAGAAACAUAUACCUUUCAGUGCAGGCUACUACUUCGAGUGUUCCUAUAACGACAAUCUCUCUCAUUUCGAAAGCUAUCGAGGUGAGGACCGUAUGAAAUGGUUUGCCGACGAGUUGUCUGAUAUUGCAAAAUUUGUUGAAUCCAAAAUUAGGAACAUUGAGCUGAUGACAGUGCGUUUGAAUAAUAUCGGUGCUGCAAUGACUUAUCAUAUUUGCGAAAAUCCGUUCGCCCCCAAAGAUGUUAUCGUGUACGAUCACGAUCACUAUACGGGGGCGUUCCGCGGUUUUGCGCAUCAAGCCCCCUGUAAUGACAAUUUUCGAAAUUUAUUCGUGGUACUCAUUACUUUUCAUAAUCUUUCAGGAUACGACAGUCACUUCAUUAUCAGAGAUAUUGCAAAAAAAGGCUGUGUGAGCAUACUUCCCUCAAAUAAUAAGAAAUACAUUUCCUUUACACACAAGGAUGCUGAAACUGAAAUUAAAUUUCGAUUUAUAGAUUCUUUUCGAUUCAUAGAUUCUUUUCGAUUCAUGGGAACAUCGUUGGAUGAAUUAGUAUCCAAAUUGGAUCAAAAUGAUUUGGAAAUAAAAAAAAAGAAUUUAUUCAUUUAGAUGAUGAAAAAUUCGCUCUUCUCACCAGGAAGGGAGUAUUUCCAUAUGAUUAUAUAGAUAGCAUGGAAAAAUUGAACAUCACCGAGUUACCAUCACGAGAGGAAUUCGAAAUUAUAAAUUUGGUUUCGUAUGCGGACUUAUUUUUGAAAACAGAUAUUUUAUUACUGGCAGACGUUUUUGAAAAUUUUCGUCAAAAAAGCAUAGCAACCCAUAAGGGUUGGAUCCCGCAUGGUAUUAUACUAUGCCUGGGUACACGUGGGAUGCCAUGUUGAAG